rnacentral:lncRNA from 1 species
CCUUAGUGAACUAGAGUGAUGAGAGAACCUUCUGCGUGCCUUGAAGUUUCAUGAACAGCUUGUGAAAUGCUCUGAAACCUUUAGUUUCCAAGAACUGACUUCCACAAAGUUGAAGACUGAGAGUAGAGGAGCAAGCAGCAUAAGAAAGAAGUGUUGAGAACUGCUCUUAACCCUUUUGGAGGCCGAAGUCAAAAGGUAAAACCAAAUGCUAAUGUUUCUGCUUCUGAAGGUGUUGCUAUCAUAAUUGUUUGGAAAUGCUGUUUCCUUAUCACAUCUGAACUGAGAUUUCCCACAGGAGAAAAGCAGGGAUACAGUAAGAGGAAUCAAAACAUUAUUAGACCUCUUUAAGAGCCACCAGCAUAUCUGGGCAUAAAUUAUACAGGUAAGUUUCAACUGGUAAACUGCAAUUAUCUGUUUUACUUAAUAUGAAAACAUUGGUGUUG